rnacentral:rRNA from 1 species
UACGUAGGGUCCGAGCGUUGUCCGGAAUUACUGGGCGUAAAGAGCUCGUAGGUGGUUUGUCGCGUCUGCCGUGAAAAUCCGGGGCUCAACCCCGGACUUGCGGUGGGUACGGGCAGACUAGAGUGUGGUAGGGGAGACUGGAAUUCCUGGUGUAGCGGUGAAAUGCGCAGAUAUCAGGAGGAACACCGAUGGCGAAGGCAGGUCUCUGGGCCACUACUGACGCUGAGAAGCGAAAGCGUGGGGAGCAAACAGG